AUUUCAUGCCAUAUUUUUUACUCUAAAACAAAGAAUCUUCAUGACGCUGUAAGCUGCAUUAGGAAAAUGUUUUCCAAUUUUUUUCUGACUUUUUAUUGAAAUUGUUCAUCAUACUGAUCAUUGACCCCCUAUAUAGGGGGAGAUUAUAGGGGGAGAUGAGCACUUGAUGAAAUCCUUUGAGGAGUGCAUUGCCUGGUUAUUGUUGUUUUUAUUCAUUAUUACGCCUUCAAUAUGCAUCUAUAUAUACUGAAAAUAAAGAUGUCACGAAAUC
rnacentral:sRNA from 1 species